rnacentral:rRNA from 1 species
GACGAACGCUGGCGGCGUGCUUAACACAUGCAAGUCGAACGGAAAGGCCCUGCUUUUGUGGGGUGCUCGAGUGGCGAACGGGUGAGUAACACGUGAGUAACCUGCCCUUGACUUUGGGAUAACUUCAGGAAACUGGGGCUAAUACCGGAUAGGAGCUCCUGCUGCAUGGUGGGGGUUGGAAAGUUUCGGCGGUUGGGGAUGGACUCGCGGUUUAUCAGCUUGUGGGUGGGGUAGUGGCUUACCAAGGCUUUGACGGGUAGCCGGCCUGAGAGGGUGACCGGCCACAUUGGGACUGAGAUACGGCCCAGACUCCUACGGGAGGCAGCAGUGGGGAAUAUUGCACAAUGGGCGGAAGCCUGAUGCAGCAACGCCGCGUGCGGGAUGACGGCCUUCGGGUUGUAAACCGCUUUCGCCUGUGACGAAGCGUGAGUGACGGUAAUGGGUAAAGAAGCACCGGCUAACUACGUG